GGCGGAGUUAUAGCACACUCUAAGCGUAGUAAUUCUUCUCGCUUCUGUAGUGGGCUGCCAGCUCCCUGCCGUAAAACCCCCUAUAUUUUACAGGUUGACCUCGGAUUAGGUAGGAAUACCCGCUGAACUUAAGCAUAU
rnacentral:rRNA from 1 species